rnacentral:SRP_RNA from 2 species
GCCGGGCGCGGUGGCGCGUGCCUGUAGUCCCAGCUACUCGGGAGGCUGAGGCUGGAGGAUCGCUUGAGUCCAGGAGUUCUGGGCUGUAGUGCGCUAUGCCGAUCGGGUGUCCGCACUAAGUUCGGCAUCAAUAUGGUGACCUCCCGGGAGCGGGGGACCACCAGGUUGCCUAAGGAGGGGUGAACCGGCCCAGGUCGGAAACGGAGCAGGUCAAAACUCCCGUGCUGAUCAGUAGUGGGAUCGCGCCUGUGAAUAGCCACUGCACUCCAGCCUGGGCAACAUAGCGAG